GUUUCAUUUUUUUCCGCUGCCGAACCGAAGCCGUGCCCUACGGUGGGGCGGAUGCGUCGCCGCCGCCCUUCCCCUGCCGGUUCUCCUCCUCCGAUAUUAAAGUUGUGGCUGAGGGUUUUUGCAACCCUUCCUUCUCCUCUUCCCCUUCUUCUGUGCCCUAGAUUUUUUGCCGCCGGCGACCUUUAUGCCACCGUCGACCAAUUCUUCCCUUCCUCCUCUGACAGCCACUUCUCGCCACUGCCGAACCCCUCAUCUGCCGGCGCCCAUUGUUGUGGAGAUCCUAGUGCCGCCGCUGCCUUCUCUCGACCCGAGAAGUGCUAUCAUCUUUGUGCCCUAGUGUCGGUUCACCAGCCAUCCAGUGGCGAGUCCUUCCAUCGCACUACUGCCUCCGCACCUUCUUCCUCAUUGUGGUCAUGCCUCCCUUGCCCUAAUCUCUGCUCUGUCUUCCAUGUGCCCGAGAUCUGAGCCAGUACUUGAUUUGGGGGCAUUCGUUGGGUGGUCAACAGGUAUGGAUGUUUUCUAUGAAGCUGGAAUCGUGAGCAGUGUUAGCAAGAACUGUUAUAUUGAGGACUUUGAUGCGAGACGAGCAUCUUGACGUUGGUCUUGAUUGGAUUAGACCUGCUAUUUGGAGGCGAGUACCUCUUGACUUAUCUUUUAUGAUAUUGUCAUUUAGAUAUGCAUAGUAUUUUAUAGCUACAAGCAAUGAUC